rnacentral:rRNA from 1 species
ACGCACGCUGGCGGCAUGCCUCACCCAUGCAAGUCGAACGAGACCUUCGGGUCUAGUGGCGCACGGGUGCGUAACGCGUGGGAACCUGCCCUUAGGUUCGGAAUAACUCCCCGAAAGGGGUGCUCAUACCGGAUAAUGUCUUCGGACCAAAGAUUUAUCGCCUUUGGAUGGGCCCGCGUUGGAUUAGCUAGUUGGUAGGGGAAAAGCCUACCAAGGCGACGAUCCAUAGCUGGUCUGAGAGGAUGAUCAGCCACACUGGGACUGAGACACGGCCCAGACUCCUACGGGAGGCAGCAGUGGGGAAUAUUGGACGAUGAGCGAAAGCCUGAUCCAGCAAUGCCGCGUGAGUGAUGAAUGCCUUAGGGUUGUAAAGCUCUUUUACCCGGGAUGAUAAUGACAGUACCGGGAGAAUAAGCUCCGGCUAACUCCGUG